rnacentral:lncRNA from 1 species
UGAUGUAUAUUCACCACCAUCUAUUCUUAGCCAUUUUAUCUUACCUUCACUUUAUUUUUUAGCCAAGUUCAUGAAUUUCUUGAAUUUACUUAGGACUUUUUUUUUCUUUUAACAUAUAAAUCUAAGUUUUGGCUUUAUAAUAAAGUUAAGAAAAUACCUACUUCUAAGUGAUAUUGGACUAAUUGAACCACAAACAUCUUAAUGCAUUAAUCAAGUUGAUGUCCUACUAGUUGUGUUCUUCUCAAUUUAAAAAAACUUUCUUUCUUGUUUUCUCAUAUAUACACAUCACAUCAUAUUUGUUGGGUGAUCAAUUCUUA